rnacentral:lncRNA from 1 species
GUAGAAUGCUGCUCUCAGCCCUGAUGGUUUUCUGCCUUUGCACUGCCCACAUCCCUACCAAGGAGGAAAGUUAAACCACUCCAAGGUUUUGAAAAGAAAUGAAGUUUUUCAGGUGUUCUUCCAUGAGGAUGUUGUACAUGGUAACUGCAAGCAUCGAAGACUUUCACUGCACAGAGGAUGUGAGGACUCAACUCAGGUUUGCAAAUUCCAUUCCUGCAGCUGAACACCCCCUGUACCAUCAAAUGGAGCAGCCAUCCCACAGGCCUCAGCCCAGUACAGCUGGGGCUGUCAUCACAAUGCUCAGAUAAACUGUGGGAUGGGUUAAGGCUGUAAUACAGUAGGCCCUAGGAGAUGUGAUUUGCAAGAUAAUGUAGUUACCUGCUAUAAAAUGGAAGAGCAUUCUUGGCAUUUUAUAAACAUUGCAACUUGGACCUCCUGAGAGAUGAAUUUGUGCCUGAAAUUCCUUUUUAUCAAUACUUCAUUGUAAUUGGAGCUGUCUAUAAGCUGUAUCUCUUCUUUCAAUUAGAAGCUACUGGACAACUCAGAUGAAAUUCCCUUCCUUGCAUUAUCAAACCACAAGUUCACUCUUCAAAAAGCAAAUGUUUUUAAUAUUCUGUCCAAGCUAUAGGAUUAAAUUCUCAUGUUUUGUGUUCCUCCAACAAUCUGUUAGUCAGAUAUGCCCGUUGUAUUAGUAUUAGUGUUUACUGGUUUUCUAUGUAACCAAAGUAAUUUUCCAGCAGCUUGCUUGUGGGUUCAAGGUAUCCAUUAUUAAAAAUUAGACACAUUUGAUUUGAACCUACAGUAGCUAAAUGUAAAAAGUGCAAUAUACUCUGUUCCUUCACAGCGCUGGGAAAACCUCCAAAGGUCUGGAUUGAAGAG